AGCGAACGCUGGCGGCAGGCUUAACACAUGCAAGUCGAGCGGGCAUAGCAAUAUGUCAGCGGCAGACGGGUGAGUAACACGUGGGAACGUACCUUUUGGUUCGGAACAACUGAGGGAAACUUCAGCUAAUACCGAAUAAGCCCUCACGGGGAAAGAUUUAUUGCCGAAAGAUCGGCCCGCGUCUGAUUAGCUAGUUGGUAGGGUAAUGGCCUACCAAGGCGACGAUCAGUAGCUGGUCUGAGAGGAUGAUCAGCCACACUGGGACUGAGACACGGCCCAGACUCCUACGGGAGGCAGCAGUGGGGAAUAUUGGACAAUGGGCGCAACCCUGAUCUAGCCAUGCCGCGUGAGUGAUGAAGGCCUUAGGGUUGUAAAGCUCUUUCAGCUGGGAAGAUAAUGACGGUACCAGCAGAAGAAGCCCCGGCUAACUCCGUGCCAGCCGCCGCCGUAAUAC
rnacentral:rRNA from 1 species